ACCCGGGGUCGCGGGAACGUUCUGUUUAUAGGACAGCCGGGAGGUGUCCUUCCCCCUACCUCCCCGGGGAGGGGAGCGAUUAAGAGGGCAAGGCUAGUGAAGGAGGAAGAAGGGUGGCGAGAGGCAACAUUUGGUACUCCCCGAACACUAACCGGGGUGUUUGGAAACUGGGGUUCUACUCCAAGGGCUGUCACGAAGAAGUUGUGUGACCUUGGCAAGCCACUUCUUUCUGGGACUCGGUUUCCUUCUAUGUAAAAGAAGUUGGAAGGGAUGGAAGAAUUGGAGAGAAAGAUACUGAAAAAAGCAGGAAGGACCGGACUUGGAGCUGGGGAGUGAGCUGGAGAAGAAAAUGGCAAACCACCCAAGUAUAUUUGUCAAGAAAACCUUAAAUGGAGUCGUGAAGAACUGGAUAUGACUGAACACAGCAACAGCACCGAGACCAAGAAUGGGGAAGUGACUUUGCCCACAGCACACAGGAAGUCAAUGGUUUCAAACAUAGGAAGCAUUCAAUAAAUGCUCAUGGAUUGAUUCUA